GACGAACGCUGGCGGCGUGCCUAAUACAUGCAAGUCGACCUUAGUGGCGAACGGGUGAGUUACACGUGGGUAACCUGACCAUCCGGAGGGGAUAACACUUGGAACCAGGUGAUAAUACCGAAUAUUGAUGGAUGGACCCGCGGUGCAUUAGCUAGUUGGUGAGGUAAAGGCUCACCAAGACCACGAUGCAUAGCCGACCUGAGAGGGCGAUCGGACACAUUGGGACGGAGACACGGCCCAAACUCCUACGGGAGGCAGCAGUAGGGAAUCUUCGGCAAUGGACGAAAGUCUGACCGAGCAACGCCGCGUGAGUGAAGAAGGUUUUCGGAUCGUAAAACUCUGUUGUUAGAGAAGCGGUAUCUAACCAGAAAGCCACGGCUAACUACGUGCCAGCAGCCGCGGUAAUAC
rnacentral:rRNA from 1 species